rnacentral:lncRNA from 10 species
GCUGCCCUCUGUGACAAUUUCUGCCGAUUCAGCAUCAACGGUUUGUCCCGCAGCUGCCGUGCAAACAAAUCUCAGCCAUCAGAUGUUCCCUGAAGCACAGAGUCCCGUUCUCAGAAGCCAACCGAGCUGUGCUUCUGGGCAGUGCUCUCUCACUUCGUGGCCAGGACGUCGGCUGUGACUCUCCUCUUUCCUGAGGAGCAUCUUCAGCUGAUCCACGUCCUGCAUGGUGCUGCAGUGUUUCUUAUAUACCACCCAUCUCUAAGUAUUGGGAAUACGCAGGGGAAACAAAGACAUUUCUCUGUUAUACGGUUUUCAAGGCCUAUCAGGUUGCCUGUUCAUUCUUGUAACCAACCCAAAUGCCCAUCAAUGAUAGACUGGAUAAAGAAAAUGUGGCACAUAUACACCAUGGAAUAUUAUUCAGCAAUAAAAAAGGAUGAGUUCAUGUCCUUUGUGGGAACAUGGAUGAAGCUGGAAACCAUUAUUCUCAGCAAACUAACACAAGAACAGAACACCAAACACUGCAUGUUCUCAUUCAUAAGUGGGAGUUGAACAAGGAGGACACAUGGACAUCACACACUGGGGCCUGUUGGGGGGUGGGGGCUAGGAAAGGGAUAGCAUUAGGAGG